GAGAAUUGGGCCGUGACGAUCUGAGAUCUUGGCCAAAGUGCGGUGGAGUGGUUUCUUCAGGAGGUAUAGAUGGCCCAGAAUCGGUAGAGCUGGGAAUAGGCUUGGUGGGAGGUUUUGGAUUUUGCUAAGGAGCUGUUUGGUGAAUAGAAAUAAGGAUGAUAAUAGGAGAAAGAGGUAGAAGAAGAUUGUGUACUCCAUGUCUCCGUGGCUACAAAAAUCUUGGAAACGGAUCAAGGAGUUGGAAGACUCUUGGAGAGGAAUUAACAGCCGGGUACAUAUAUCUUGAAAUUCAAAAAGCUACCUAGCUUUUAUGUAGUAACUUGGUCCUCAACCGUUGAAAAUAAACAACAACUACUACCGCAACAAACAAAAUAGAGUAAUAAUAUAAAUAGCCUAGCUCAUCCGGUUAUCAUAAAUUUAUCUUACUACCUCUGUUCUUAAAAGAUUAUUCAUUUACCAAGUAAAAUUUAUAUGAAAUUCCAUCACUACCCCUUUAUGGAAAGUUGAAAACUAUUAAUAUAAGGAAGAAAAUUUCUUGGGACAAUGAGAGAAGGUAGGGGUAAUAUAGAAAAGUAAAUAAUUUAUUCUCCUUGAAAGUUGUAAACGACAAACUUUUUGGAACAAAUUUUUUCUUCUAAAACGACAAUCUUUUAAGAACGGAAAGAGUAAUAAUUAGAAAAAGAUCACCUCUCAUCGUGUCAACAAUUUAUUGGUCCUAGUCUAGUGUGGAUACAUUUUUAAUUUUUUUACUUUGCGGAUAAGCAUUCGACAUAUGGGACACACCUUGUUCUCCCCAUCCAUAAUCCUGCAAAAAAGAGGCAUAAUAAUAAAAUUUUCAUAGUAUUUACUCGUAAAUAUUCAUAUCAAAUUUUGAGUCCAAAUCGAAUGAAGUAAUAACGUAUUAAAACUCAAUUUAUUAUCUUAAUAGUAUAUUUUUAAGUCAUAUUAGUACAUUACAAACUUGCUCAAAAGAUCAUAAUCGAAAUUACUAUUAAUAGUAGUUUGGUACCUCAUCAUAUGCAUAUCAAACUAGCUCAUAUGUUCCGAUGCAAAGAUGUUUCCCUCCAGACUAUUUCCUCCAUAUUUGCAAUCUCAGUUGUACUCGUUGCAAGUCAUACUUAUAACAUAUUUCGACACGUGUACAACUGAAAUUAUAAAUAUAAAAAAGUAAAGAGGAAAUAGUCUAGAGAAGAGAACCUCUCGUUCCCAUGUGAGAUAUUUCACAUGAAUUCCACAUCAGAUAAAUUCAAGAGUGUAGAUUGUUAUGUUUGUAAUAUUCUUGGACGCAAUCAAAUUGCACAAAUAAGCGGAAACGUGUAAAAUAUUAGAGUUUAAAAUUUUACAAACCAUAUACCUGGAUCAUCCUUUAUGCACAAUUAUUAAUUAAACGAAAAGAUAUGAAGAACAAGAAUCAUACCCUUGAAGAUUCGAGCUUCCUCAGGUACAAGUUCACCUCCAAUCCUUUUCGCGUUCAACUUGAAUCUACUGGGUUUGGUUCCUUCCUUUGAUCAACGUUAGCCACCCAAGUGUUUGGCCUCUAGAGGUGAUCCACCAAGAAAGAAUAAAUAUUCAAGAAGAUGGGUGUUUGGCAAAACCCUAAUUUUCUAUCUCUCAUAGAAAAGGAGCGUACUCUCCAACUAUUGGAAUUACGUCUGUUGUGAAAAAGUCAACAACCCUUACACCCAUAAUAAGACUUCUCUUAUUUAUAGAUGUGGGCAACCCUCCUUAACAAUUAAGGAAUUGGGUUUUAUUUUAAUUAAUUAAAAUCAUUUAAUUAAUUAUCCUCCUAAUCUUAUUAGGAAUAAAUGAGAGUACUAAUAUUAAAUUAAUUUCCAACUCUUUAAAAAUUAAAAUAAUAAUAAUUGUAAUAAUAUUAAUAAGACUCCUCUUAUUAAUUUAUAUAUUUAAUAUUUCCAAAAUAUUAAAUAAUAAAUAUUAAGCUAUUUAAUUUAUUCUAUCACCAUAGAUUAAAUUAAAUAUACUUAACUUAUUAUUACGAUUAUGCCAUUAACUUCUUAAAUAAUUAUUCUUCCUUUUAUGGUGUGACCCUUUAGGUUCUCCAUAUUAAACCGGUUGUGAAUAAAUCAAUUAGAACAAUUCUAAUCUUAUUUAAAUAAAUAAAUUAAACUAUUAAUUUAUUUAAAUAAAUAAUAUUUAUUCUACAAUAGGGAUAAGCCUCCCUAGCGAUCAACGACUUUCCAGAUAAUAUAGAUUUCAACAUUAAUCAUAAAAGAACCUUUGAGUAAAUAGUUACCGUACAAUUCAAUCCUUCCACCAUACAAUGUCCCAAUUAAAUAUAAGACAUGGAAUUACUGUCAAGUCUUAUUUUAUUUAAUUAUAUGUAUUUCGACUCUUAUAUGCAUAACUCCAAAUAUUGCAAAUUAAAAACUCAUUUCUAAUUUCGUUCUGCCUUGGCCAAGGACUACUGGGUUGUCAUUUAUCGAAUCACAUAGGACAUUUCUCUUCUUUUACUAGACGUGGUAGAUUCUUUAUUGAUCAUACAUUAUCCCCAUGUACAACUUAUUAUACCCAAGCAUACCCUUUGAUAUACCCUAAGGGUCUUAAGGAAUAAGUCAAAGUAUAACUCAUCAUACACAAGAUACUAUGAUGAUCUCAAGUCCAAAGAUCACUUGUACUACUAUUACUACAGGGAUUUCUAUUGACAGACAAGUAAAACUCUAUUAUGUAUUCCUUAGCGAGCCACGUUCAGUGAACUUAUUAUCUAAUAAGCACAUACAUACUUGCUUUAGUGUCUCCACACAAAUGAUCAUGAGAUCAAUCAUCCUCAUCCAAUGAGCAAGCAACGUAUGUACCAAUCUAUCCGGAUUCACUAAUCCCCAAUUUAGUAAUCCAACGAUUGAGAACUAUUUUAGUUUUAAGCUUUCUAAGAAUUUAGAUCUCAUUAAAAUGAUCAUCAUCAUUAUUCUAAAAGUAUUGCUUAAAACUAUGGGUUUAUCACAUAUUAUAAAACAGCAUCAUGUAGAUAAUUAAAAGCCUUUAAUAAAUUAAUACUUUUUAUUAAUAAAUGAAUAAGAUUGUUACAAAGUAUAUGCUUUAUCAUCAAAAAUGAUUGGCUUGUGUGCAUACUACUUUCAUAUAUGAGUUAAUAAGUAUGGUAGAGCCUCAACCUAAUAGGUUAACUUUUUAGGUAAGGAGGUGGUCCAACAUACUUAUUGAGUCCGUCUGCUAGGUGAUGAAUUGAUGUGGGAUGGAUUGUACAAUUUCGCUACAAAUGUCUAGUCAAAACACUUCAUGAGCUUGUUUUUUCAGGUGAAGUACCUUCGAGCACAUCCAUUACAAGUGGCACAAUGACCACAAGGAACAAAGAAGCAGUUUCGUGGCACAUCAUAGCAGAUCGCGCAAAUCUUCCCACCGUAUAAAUCCUCGGGAGAGCUAGACUCCUGAUCAUGAUCUUCUUCAUCAGUUCUGUAAGGCAAUCGAAAUGAUUUCUGGGGCAUCAGCGGAUAGGUCUCACUAAUUUCUCCAACUGGUUGUUCCUCUUCAAAACUUUCCACUUCAUAUGAUCCAAUGUAUUUCACAAGAAGAAAAACAAGUAUCAUCAAAAAUCCUGCAAACCAUGACUAAACAGUUGAAGGCCAUUUAAUAUAUACAGCUACAAGUGUAACAAAAAGGAAAAGUAUAUUCUAUUUAGCAAAAAAAAGAAGAAAGUAUUUUCAUAGUGUAAUACAUACCUGAAAUUACAAUAUAUACAGCAAUACGAACCACAAAACAAAGCACAUGAUACCAUCCAUCAAGAUCUCCCAUGCGAGUAAUUUUUCCAGUUAAUUAGUAGUUAAUUACCCUAAUUUAUGCACAAACUGGCCCCAUAUGUUUCAAGGAAAAUACUUGUCAACUUCCUUUUUUUUUGCCGUUAUUUUUAUAAAAAGAUAAAUCUGUCGUUUUCUAACUCCGACAAUAAUUUCGUUUGUGGGGUCCACCAAUGAUUGUGUCGUAGUACGAAUAAUCCCUGUUAAAGCGAAUAUUCCCCAACCAAUUGAAUAUUUUAUAACCACUUUCUUACUUUGCAAAAUUUGUAAAUAUUACCCACAACUAUAACAUUAUCUCAAAUUCACACCAUAAUAUUCAAAAAUAUAUUUCGAGAAAAAUUAAUCUUUAUUCAUAAAAGUUGGGGUCUUACAACAUAUAUAUAUAUAUAUAUUAUAUGAUAAUUUUGAUAUUUUAUGACAAUAUCCACAAUUAGGGAUGCACAAAAGGCCCGAGGCCUGCGGCCCGGUUAAAGUCCGGCCUGGUCAAGGCCGGUCAGGCCUGUCCUAGAAGGCUUGAAAAGUCCGCUAUUUUUAAAUAAAAAUCUGGCCUGGCUGGGCCUGGCAUGAGGUCUACCCUGGCCUGGCCUGGCCUGAGACCUUACAAGAUUUUUUAUCCAAUUAUUUGUAAUUUUUGAACUUUAAAUUUAUAGUUAUUCAUCAAUAAAGUAUAAAUUUUUACUUAUUCAUUAUUGUAAUUUAUAAAUUAUAAUACAUUAAUUGUGACGCCCCCAAAAUAGGUAUACAUCACAUAUUCUGAGUCGCCAAAUACAUGGUAUAGAAUACAAAUACAACCUUAGAUAUACAACAUGAGCUGUGAGUUUUAAUACAAAUAUUGUCUUCUAGACAGUAUUCAAACUCAAAAUAAGUCCGCAAUACAUUUAUUAUCACACUAUUUUAUAGAAUAGUGAUGACUACUAAUACUAUCAUCUGGACCGUCACUCCGUUCCCCGACUAGUCCCUGCUACGUUCUCAUUUUCUGAAGAGAACAAUGAAAGCAAAAGGGUGAGCUCAACUAGCCCAGUAAGAAAUAUUAUGACUAAGAUAAUGCAAAAUAAAUUAUCAUUAGCCUUCAACAGUGUUAAACUGAUAAAAUAUAACAAACAUCAAGUUUAACUGCAGCGGAACAAGCAAUCCAUUAGAAGAGUCAAGUAGAGAAUAAAAUCUACUAUCUUCUAUGAUUUAAAAGGUUUUUCAUUACUUUUAUCGCUGAGACUCAGCUUAAUAAAUAAUCUACAUCAUCCCUGCACUACGGCCAAGGAUAUUCAUUAGUAUCACGACCACAAAUUAUCUAUGCACUACGGGCCAAGGAUAUUCGUGUAUUCGUCAAUGGUCAUGAUCAUGUCAACAACUGUCCAUCAAUGUACUACGGGGUAAUGAGGACUUUUUCCACAUCAUUUGUAACAUUACGGUCAUGAUUACACCGAAUAAUCCCUGGUCAUAAUCAUACCAAGUCCAUCUAUGCACUACAGGCCACAGAUGACUUUCAACAUAAUAUAAAUAUGAGGAUGAUGACAAAUAUAUAAGAAUUCAAUAAAACAAGUUCAAAAAUUAAUUUAUCUAGGAACUAAUAAUGUCCAAAUUGUCAAUAUGAUACUUCUUUGUAGAGUAACACUCAAGAAUGCUCAGAAGAAUAUUUCCAUGAAAAGAUACUAGAUGAAGCGCAAAUAUCAAGGAUAUUCCACUAAUUUCAUGGAGUACAGAAGUCAAAACUUUAACCAACUAAGUAUAAUAAAGAAUGGAAUAACAAAAGAAAUCACCAGACAUGCGAUAGACCGCACAGACAGGUUAUUCCAACAGAAUAUUAAAUAACGGAACCAGGUCAUGCGUAAACGCACAGACAAGAUAUUCCAACAGAAUAAUAAAUAAUGGAACCAGGUCAUGCGUAAACGCACAUAGGAUAUUCCAACAGAAUAAUAAACAACGGAACCAAGUCAUGUGUAAAUGCACAGACAGGAUGUUCCAACAGAAUAAUAAACAACGAAGUAACAUAAAAAUUUCACCAAGUAUAGGGUAGCCCGCGUAUACAGAUUAUUCCAACAGAAUAAUAAAGAAUGGAAUAACAGAAGUUCUCUUCAUGAAUAAGAAAGAAAUAAUACCCCUUACGAGUACAACAAAUAAAAUCCCUUACCGCAAAAGAAGAGUAUUCCGACUGGUAGGGCGAGAAUAUUCUUGAAGAAAACUUACACUACGCUCAAAGCUUCUUAAAACUCUAAAGAAAUACGCUCAAAAUUAUAGAAGAAUUCUCUGAACUUCUGGUGUGGUUUUCAAUUCUAACUAAGCAUCCUAUUUAUAGAAAAAUAGAAAGGAUACUAUGCUGAACUAUGCAAUAAAAUAUAAUAUAUUCUAAAUAUAUAUAUAUAUAUAUUUAUAUAUUUUAUUUAAAAUCUAAUAAAAUAAAUAACUUUAUAAAAGUAUUCUGUUUUAUAUAAAAAGAUUUUACUAUACAAAACACUAUGCAUAAUAAAAUAUAAUAUAUUCUAAUUAUUGUUUAAUAAAACAAAUAACUUUAUAAAAGUAUUCGGUUUUAUAUAAAAAGAUUUUACUAUACAAAACACUAUGCAUAAUAAAAUAUAAUAUAUUCUAAUUAUUGUUUAAUAAAACAAAUAACUUUAUAAAAGUAUUUUGUUUUAUAUAAAAAGAUUUUACUAUGCAUAAUAGAAUAUUAUAUAUUCUAUUUAUAGUCUAAUAAAAUGAAUAACUUUAUAAAAGUAUAUUAUGUUUUAUAUAAAAAGCUUUUCUGUUUUAUUACAUUAAUAAUACUAAUAAAACAAAACUCAUCAUCAUUAUUAUAAUUCACAAUAUUAAUCGAUCAGGUCGUUCUCAAGAAAGAGGGGGGGCUUUCCAAUAAGGAUUUCUCCUCAUUGGCGCGCAAUUAGGUGACCAAACCUUUCCUUGACAGAACUUCUAGACAUUGUUAAUAUUGUAAAUAAUAAUAUUAAUAACUUUGUCAUCUCAAUUAUUGAUUAUAAAAUAUUGACAAUAAUUGAAUCAAAUAACGUGAGAUACUAUGCAGCAAUUACUGUUACAAUAAUUAAACAAAAUUGAGUGACUUCUCACGUAAGCAUCACUAAUCAAUAUCGUGUGCUACUAUGCAACCACGCGUAUUACUGUACUUUGAACACCGGGUGUUUCAACAGUUAACGGUAAAACUUCAGCCGUUAUUUUCAUAAAGUAUUUUUGUCGUUUUCUCAAUCCGACAAUAACUCCAUUGUGGGGUCCACCACCAAUCGAAUAUUAUAUAACAACUUGCAUACUUUAUAAAAUUUAUAAAUAUUACCCACAACUAUAACAUUAUAUCAAAUUCGUUUCAUAAUAUUCAAAAAUGAUAUUUAUAGAAAAUUCAUCUUUAUUAAAAAAAACUUGGGGUCUUACAUUAAUUUUAAUUAAUACGUCAAUAAAAUUUAAAAUUUUAAUUAUUAAUUCUUGAUUUCUUGUAGAUACAUUUAAUUAAUAUACAUCUUCAAUGAAUAUAACUAGUUAGUAUAUUUAAUAUUAAUAAUAAGUUAGUUACUUGGUUGAUUAAAUAUUAAUAAUAAUAAGUUAAUUUAUUGUAAAUACUAAAUUUUAUUAAUAUUCUUUGUUACUUUAAUGUUAAUAUUAACAUUAAUUAAUACAUCAAUAAUCUAAUUUUUAAUAUUAAAUAUUAAUAAUAAGUUAGUUUCUUGUAAAUACUCAAGUUUUUCAUUAAUUUGGAUAUGCUAAAUUCUUGGGGGAUUAUGAUUUUGGUUAUUUUUAGGUAUUCUGUUGUACCAAUUUAAAUAAAAAUUUUAUAAAGCAAUUAGAAAACUAACUGAAAUUAAUAUUUGAGAUAUAACUAUGUAAGAGUUUAAUGACCACAAAUGAAAAGAUAUAUGUGUGUUUAAACUUUAGAAAAUUUAUGUGCAACCGAUCCUAGUACUAUAAGAAAAUAAAAUCAAAACUAAUUUUAUAUUCAAAAAAUAAAAGUGUAAUUUAUAGUAUUUAGGUAAUCUACAAUAUUUUAUACGAAGUGCAUAGUAGACGAUUAGACAUAUAUUUAAGAAAUCAAUUUGUUUUAUAUUCCAGUUACAUCUAAAUUAUAUUUUUCUGUAAUUUAAGAUGAAUAUAUUUAUUUUUGUUCUAAUCAUUCAACUUAUAUUAGUGUAGUAGAAUGUUAAAAUAAAAUAAAUCUAAAAAAUCUUGCAUCUUUUUUACAAAAUUUAUUAAUUUAUAUUUUAUAAUUUAUAAUUUAUAUUUUUAAUAUUUAAUAUGUAACAUUAAAAAAAAAAAAACCAGACCAACCAAGGCUUUGGGUAUGGCCUGACCUUGGUCCUGGGCCUGACCUUGGGUCUGGCCUGGACUUGGGCCUGGCCUGACCUAACCUGCAGGCUUAGUUAGACCACAGCCCAACGACCAAGGCAUGGCCUGGCCUGGCCUAGAGGCCAAAAGUCAACGGCCUGACUUGAUCUGGUCAAAGCCUAAGGCCUUGCAAGCCCAGGCCAGACCAGACCAGCCUGUUGUGCAUGCCUAUCCACAACUAACAAUCAAACAUAUACUUCAAAUAUCUUAAAAUCAUUUUAUUCCAUUCUCCAUUCUAUUAUUUUAAUCCAAACUUAGCAUCAAGACUCAGUAAUAAAAUGAAGAACACUUUCCGGCAAGUUGAUGAUAGGUUCAGACAGAGGAAUCUUUUCCAAGUUUGCUCCUCCUUGUUUGGGAUGCUUAAUUAACAAUAUUGUUAAGUUCUAUAUUCAGAAAAAGAAUCAUAAUACUACAAGCUUAGGAGUAUCUUUCAUUUCCUAGGUCGGUAUUUCAAUAAGUUUAGCGGACCGGACACUACUGACCGGUCCAAAAUUUAUUUUUUUUCACUUUGACUCCCAAAAAAUGUACAAUAAGUCUAGCCGGACAGGAAAGCUGGACAGGAUUAUUGAACAGGCGAUUNNNNNNNNNNNNNNNNNNNNNNNNNNNNNNNNNNNNNNNNNNNNNNNNNNNNNNNNNNNNNNNNNNNNNNNNNNNNNNNNNNNNNNNNNNNNNNNNNNNNAUAGUAUUUAUUUCAACAGGAAUUUUUAUAAAAUAUAGUGUUUUAGGUGUAAUUUGGAUACACAUACAAAAAAGGAGUUAUACAGUCUGUAUAACCCUAUUUUUGUAUGUGUAUCCAAAUUACACCUAAAACACUAUAUUUUGUAAAAAUUCCUGUAGGAAUAAAUACUAUACAUUUUUUGGAGUCACAAGCAAAAAAAUAAAAAAAUAAAAAAAUUCGCCUGUCCAAUAAUCUUGUCCAGCUUUCCUGUCUGUGUAGAAGCACCUAAAAAUAUAUAGUAUUUAUUUCAACAUGAAUUUUUAUAGAAUUCAGUGAUUUAGGUGUAAUUUGGAUAUAUAUAAAAAACAGUGUUGUACAAUUAUAUGUAUCUAAAUUACUUGAUUCUGUAAAUAUUCCAGUUGGAAUAAAUAUUAAACAUUUUUUGGAAGUCAAAGCAAAAAAAAAAAAAAAAAUUGGACCAGUCGCUAGACGGCUAGACCGGUCGGUAGUAGCCGGUGGUCCCUAGAAGAACUGUUUGUAUUUUGUUUCAAAAUAAUUUCUAUAUAAUUGUUCUCAACAUUUUUUUUUUCUUUUUCAGUGUUUAUAUGACACUUCAUAAAAGUGUAUACUUUUUUUGGUAAAUCAAAGGAACAUCUUCAUACAAGCCUUUAUCCCACUGAAACAAAGGCUACGGUUGAUAGUUCAAAUACAUUAAGUAAUCUGUGUUCUCGCUCUUGCAUUGGGAUAUUGAUUCAUACUCAUGGCUUAGCAACAGAAACACAGAAAUAUGUUUAACUUCAUAAUAAGACGCAAUACCAUAAUAGUGUACAUUUGCACAUGCAGAAAUUUAAUCUAUCACAAAGGCUGUAAAUAGUACCUUAACCAAAGAUAAUAAGAAACUGGCUUCUCCCCAAAUUAAAAGCAAAUCGCAAACAAAUCUUAAACUCAUCAUAUAUAAUGCAUUAUAAUGCAGAUGAUAUUGGUAGAACAUUAAGAUACAAUGGUCUCUGGUCUUGGACUCGGUAGCUGACCUGUAAAUUGCGACGUCCCAAACUUGCGCCUGUCGAAACAUCUGUGGGGCCGUAAUUGAAUCAAAUCUGAGAAAGUUGGUUAAUCAUGGCUGGACGCGGCUGACAUUUCACAACCAAAGGUCGAAGCUUGGGCAAGGUAAGCCCAGUUCCUUCUGUCAUGUCCACCAUUUCCUUGCCAACUCUUUCAUAGUCAAAGCAUUGAAUAAGUGAACCCAAAACUAGCCCCACCAUACGCAUUGCCAGGCCUUCCCCAGGACAGGCCCUCCUUCCAGACCCAAAAGGCAUAAAUUUAAACCCAUCUCUUGUCCCUUCUAGGCCUUCAAAUCUUUCUGGUUUGAACUUUCUGGGUUCUGACCAUAAUUUGGGAUCAUUUUGUAUCGCCCAUUCAUUCACCAGUAGCAUGGUUCCCCCUGGGAUGGAGUAGUCUCCUAAGGUGCACCUGACUGAUGAUUCAUGAGGUACUAGAAGCGGGCCAGGCGGAUACAUUCUCAUUGUCUCAGUAAUAAUACAAUGGAGAUAAGGUAGAUCAGCUAUAUCCGAUUCAUUGAAGAGACGGUCUUGUCCCACAUGAUUGUCAAUCUCAAUCUGUGCCUUGUUUAGAACUUCUGGAUUGUUUACCAAAAGAGAUAAUGCCCACUCCAUAGUUCCAACUGAAGUAUCAGUCCCUGCUACUAAUAGAACCUAUUCAUAAGGUGAAAACAAUCAGAUUAAUUAUUACCUCCCCUCGUUUUCAUGUGUGUGUCGAGGAAAUGUGUGCCAUGACAUUAUUACGAAAUCUAGUACAUUUAACUUUAGAGUCCUUUUAGGGGGACAUUGUUCUAGUGACUUUUUUUUUUGGAUUUUUUUUUGUAGCAACUCCAAAAAAAUGUAUAGUAUUUAUUCCAAUUGAUUUUUUUUUUAUAAAAAAUAAUAUUUUAAGUGUAAUUUGGAUACAUACAAGAAACAUGGUCUGUACAGUCAAAUACUAUACAGUUUUUUGAAGAUACUAUAAAAAAAAACCAAAAAAAAAAGAAAAAAAAAAGGGUCACUAGAAUAAUGUCCCCUAGACUUAUUGUUUACUUUAUUAUCUAGUUUAUUCAAGAUUACUCAUCCAAUAUGAAAUAUACAUAAUUCUAAUUUCUAAGAUCCACUCAAAGACUGUAGAGAAAGUUAAAACAAAAUGAUGAUGUAGGGUUCUGGCUCUGCUUAAUUAAAGCAUAAUGACAUAAUAAAACAUUAGUUCAUAGAUUGCAUAGUACAGAAGUUAUAUUAGUUUAUUUUCUCUUUCUCAGUAUUAUUAUUCAUCUGAGAUGAACAAAAACACAAAAAGUAAAAAAUAAAGCUCAAGAUGUUAAUGAGUCCCACAUUGCUAAACAAGUGUUCAAAUGUAUUGAUGUAUGCCUUUAAAAUAUUUUAUUCUUUUUCUACUAGACCUAAAUAUUUAAAUAAAAAGACAGAUAAAGUUCCAACCAAUAAAAUAUUCACAACUUCUGGUGAAGGAGAGAAACUUGAAUGAGUAUCUUCCUUAAACAAUAUGUGCUAUUGGGAUUUGUUUUCUUUCGGUAUAUAGAAUAGGAUAACACUAUAUUAUUAUGCUUUUAGUUUUGUUAAAAGUGACUAUUGAAUGUUCCAAUUAAAACUUGAUCUCAUUAUUUUACCAUAUUUUAAAUCAACUCCUAGCCUAUCACUUUUUAUAAAUAUAACAUUAAUUUAUUAUAAAUAAAAAAAAUUAUAUUUUAUAUAAAUAUAAAAACUAUGCCUUAUACCCUGAACUAUUAAUUUUUUUUUUCAUUUUGGAGAUUGUCUUCUCAAUUUUUUCAAUUAGGAAAUUAAACUUUUAAUUUUUUUAUUACGUCUAAUUGAUAGUUCCACAUCAUAAACUGAUAACAUGACAGCGACAUGUGGCUAAAAAAUGCUUAUGUGUAGUAUUUAGUCUCAUUUUAACAUUUACUCCAUUAAUUUUUUAUACCAAAAAAGGGUAAAUAUAAGACCAUUAUUAAUUUUUUUAAAGUAAAUUUAAUACAUUACAAACUCAGCUUAAAAAAAUCAUCAAUAAUCAAUAUAAUGAUAAAUAUUUUAAAAUGUAUAAAUGUACUACUAAUUAAAAAAGAAACCGAUAUUUUCAUAUCAUUUUUUGAUAUUUCCACAUGUCGAGCCCAUAUAUUAGCUGAUGUGUCGAAGUUUUAUUAGCUAAUAUGUGAGACCUACGUAUGUUCCCAAAAAAUAUUGUUAUUUCAUAAUCAUCAAUAAUCAAUAUAAUGACAAUUUUACCAUUUUUAGUAUAAAAAAUUAAUGCCCAAAUAUAAAUUAAUUCAUUGAACUUUAAGUUUAUUUCAUAAUCAUCAAUAAUCAAUUUAAUUAAUUUUUAUACAAAAAAUGGUAAAUUGUCAAUAAAUUUACUUAAAAAAAAAUUAAUAAUGGUCUUAUAUUUACUCUUUUUGAUAAAAAAAAAUUAAUUGAAUAAAUAUUAAAUUAAAACUCAAUAUUACGCAUAAGUAUUUUUUUAGUCACGUGCUGCUGUCAUGUUAUCACUCUUCUAACGUGUCGCUGUCAUGUUAUCACUCUUCUAACGUGACGCUAUCAAUUAGACGUAAUCAUAAAAAAUUAAAAGUUUAAUCCCCUAAUUGAAAAAAUUGAAAAGACAAUCCCAAAAUAAAAAUAAAAUAAAAAUUCAAAUAUUAAUUCAUAUUUAAGCCUAAAAAAUAAUAAAACUACCCCCACCCAAGCCCAGCCUAGAAAAUGCCCAAGUCUCGAGGCUAGGCGUUCGAAAUUGCAUCUAAAUUCUCUCUUUGAUGUUUAAGGGGCUGUUUGUUUAGGAUUGAAUGGCUGAAUCGGUCAACUAUUAAGUGUGUUUGUUUUGAAAAAAAAUCGUCUGAAUGACUGAAUCGAUCAGUCAUUUAGACGAUUUGAGUUGAAUGAUUUAGUGUCAUUUUUUUGCUGAAUGAAGUUUUUUUUUUAACAAUAUUAACUAUUAUAUUAAGUAAUAUUAAAUAAAUUUAUAACAAUUUUGAACUUUUUAGUUAGACGGACAAAAUAAUAAAAAUCUGUUAUUUAGAAAUUUUAAACAUAUCAAUUAUCAAACAACUUUUUUCAUUUAGAUACAGCCUAUAAGUCUGCCUAAAGAUUUAUAAAAUUUCAUUAUGUCAUUCCAUGUCACCACAAUUAAACUUAUAAUUUAAUCAUUUUAGGAGUAAAUGUAACAAAAAAUACAUUCUUACUAUUUACACAUUUUACAUUUGAAAGUGUUUUUUUUUUUCGUGAAAUAAUGGGAGUACUAUUUCCAAAUUUAAAUAGAUCAACGGCAGUUUUUAAAAGGAUUAUGAAUUAUAAGAAGAGAGAAAAUGAAAAUCUUACCAUCAUGAGACCUCUAAUAAUUUCAUCAGUAUAGUAAUCAGGUUCAGUUUCUUGCAGCGACGAUAACACUUCAAUCAUGCUCUUCUUCCCACCUCCCAACUCCGACCCCUCACGGCCACCAACCCCACCAACGCCGCCGUUGCUACCCAUUUUCCCUCUAUGCUCUUCAAUCAACUCCUGCACAAACUCAUCUCUCUUUUUCCGUAAUACAAUCAUCCUCUUCUCUACCCCUCUCGCUACCACCCACUUCAACGCCGGCAAAAAAUCCCCCAAAUUCGAGGCCCCGCCGAGAUAAAACGUCUCCGUAACUAUCUCCUUAAACCGCCUCGCCUCCUCCAGCUCCGCCACGUUCUCCCCGUAAUACCUCUUUCCGGCGAUCAUCCUCAUCAUCACGUUUAACACCACCUCAAAAAACAUAGAUUUCAUAUCCACCGUCCGUUCUGAAGCUCGAAAGAGCCGACGCAUCAACAACCGAGUCUCCUCAACUCGUAUCGGUUGAAGCGCUUGGAGCCGAUGGGUGGAUAGCAGUUCCAGGGAUGCGAUCCGGCGGAGGUUCCGCCAGUGGUCGCCGUAGGGAGCCCAAACGAGGGAACUGAAGUUGUAGCCGAGGUGUUUUCCGAUGAGCAAGCGAGGGCGGUUGGCGAAUACGAUGUCGUUUUUGGUGAAGCAUUCCUCGGCGAUCGACGGCGAGGAGACUAAGAUGACUCGGCGGGAGCCGAACUGGAGGAGGAGAAUUGGGCCGUGACGAUCUGAGAUCUUGGCCAAAGUGCGGUGGAGUGGUUUCUUCAGGAGGUAUAGAUGGCCCAGAAUCGGUAGAGCUGGGAAUAGGCUUGGUGGGAGGUUUUGGAUUUUGCUAAGGAGCUG
rnacentral:lncRNA from 1 species